rnacentral:misc_RNA from 1 species
GUUUCAACUCAGCUCCCAUUCAUACUCUUCUCCUAAUCGUCUCCAAAGAGUAAAAUUUUAUUCAGAAAUGGCUUCAUCUGCUUUAAUUAGCGAUACUCAGUCAUGGAAGGAUUUGCGAGCUCAUGUUGAAGAAAUUAACAAAACUCAUUUGCGUGAUUUGUUGAAUCACACUGAUCGAUGUCAAUCAAUGAUGGUGGAGUUUGAUGGGAUUCUGAUCGAUUACUCGAGACAAAGAGCCACCCUUGAUACAUUGAAAAAGCUCUUCAAUUUAGCUGAGGCAGCACAUGUUAAGGAGAAGAUUAUUCGGAUGUUCAAUGGAGAGCAUAUAAACAGCACAGAAAACAGACCCGUUCUUCAUGUUGCACUGCGUGCUCCAAGGGAUGCAGUCAUAAAUAGUGACGGGAAGAAUGUUGUUCCUGAGGUUUGGCAUGUACUUGAUAAGAUCCGAGACUUCUCUGAGAGGGUUCGCAGUGGUUCCUGGGUUGGAGCCACAGGAAAAGCAUUGAAAGAUGUUGUAGCUGUUGGUAUAGGUGGCAGUUUCUUGGGCCCUUUGUUCGUACACACAGCACUUCAAACAGAAGCGGAGGCUAGUGAGUGUGCAAGAGGGCGCCAGUUGCGAUUUCUCGCGAAUGUUGAUCCAAUUGAUGUAGCCCGAAAUAUAACAGGCUUGAAUCCUGAAACAACUCUAGUUGUGGUGGUCUCAAAGACUUUUACUACAGCCGAGACAAUGCUAAAUGCCCGUACAAUGAGGGAAUGGAUCUCCUCUGCAUUAGGACCUCAGGCAGUUGCAAAGCAUAUGGUUGCAGUUAGUACCAAUCUUAAGCUCGUAGAACAAUUUGGCAUUGAUCCAAAUAAUGCAUUCGCUUUCUGGGACUGGGUAGGAGGUCGAUUUAGUGUCUGCAGUGCAGUUGGAGUAUUGCCUCUUUCUCUGCAAUAUGGUUUUUCCAUUGUUGAGAAAUUUCUGAAGGGAGCUUCAAGUGUUGAUCAGCAUUUCCUCUCAGCACCAUUUGAGAAAAAUAUACCUGUGCUUUUAGGCUUGCUGAGUGUGUGGAAUGUUUCAUUCCUUGGAUAUCCAGCAAGAGCAAUAUUACCCUAUUCUCAAGCACUGGAGAAGUUGGCACCUCAUAUUCAACAGGUCAGUAUGGAGAGUAAUGGGAAAGGGGUGUCAAUUGAUGGUGUCCCUCUUCCUUAUCAGACUGGUGAAAUUGACUUUGGUGAACCAGGGACGAAUGGCCAACACAGCUUUUACCAAUUAAUUCACCAG